rnacentral:rRNA from 1 species
UUUUUGUGGAGGGUUCGAUUCUGGCUCAGGAUGAACGCUGGCGGCGUGCUUAACACAUGCAAGUCGAACGGGAUCCAUCAGGCUUUGCUUGGUGGUGAGAGUGGCGAACGGGUGAGUAAUGCGUGACCGACCUGCCCCAUACACCGGAAUAGCUCCUGGAAACGGGUGGUAAUGCCGGAUGCUCCGACUCCUCGCAUGGGGUGUCGGGAAAGAUUUCAUCGGUAUGGGAUGGGGUCGCGUCCUAUCAGGUAGUCGGCGGGGUAACGGCCCACCGAGCCUACGACGGGUAGCCGGCCUGAGAGGGCGACCGGCCACAUUGGGACUGAGAUACGGCCCAGACUCCUACGGGAGGCAGCAGUGGGGAAUAUUGCACAAUGGGCGCAAGCCUGAUGCAGCGACGCCGCGUGCGGGAUGACGGCCUUCGGGUUGUAAACCGCUUUUGAUCGGGAGCAAGCCUUCGGGUGAGUGUACCUUUCGAAUAAGCACCGGCUAACUACGUGCCAGCAGCCGCGGUAAUACGUAGGGUGCAAGCGUUAUCCGGAAUUAUUGGGCGUAAAGGGCUCGUAGGCGGUUCGUCGCGUCCGGUGUGAAAGUCCAUCGCUUAACGGUGGAUCUGCGCCGGGUACGGGCGGGCUGGAGUGCGGUAGGGGAGACUGGAAUUCCCGGUGUAACGGUGGAAUGUGUAGAUAUCGGGAAGAACACCAAUGGCGAAGGCAGGUCUCUGGGCCGUUACUGACGCUGAGGAGCGAAAGCGUGGGGAGCGAACAGGAUUAGAUACCCUGGUAGUCCACGCCGUAAACGGUGGAUGCUGGAUGUGGGGCCCGUUCCACGGGUUCCGUGUCGGAGCUAACGCGUUAAGCAUCCCGCCUGGGGAGUACGGCCGCAAGGCUAAAACUCAAAGAAAUUGACGGGGGCCCGCACAAGCGGCGGAGCAUGCGGAUUAAUUCGAUGCAACGCGAAGAACCUUACCUGGGCUUGACAUGUUCCCGACAGCCGUAGAGAUAUGGCCUCCCUUCGGGGCGGGUUCACAGGUGGUGCAUGGUCGUCGUCAGCUCGUGUCGUGAGAUGUUGGGUUAAGUCCCGCAACGAGCGCAACCCUCGCCCUGUGUUGCCAGCACGUCAUGGUGGGAACUCACGGGGGACCGCCGGGGUCAACUCGGAGGAAGGUGGGGAUGACGUCAGAUCAUCAUGCCCCUUACGUCCAGGGCUUCACGCAUGCUACAAUGGCCGGUACAACGGGAUGCGACACGGCGACGUGGAGCGGAUCCCUGAAAACCGGUCUCAGUUCGGAUUGGAGUCUGCAACCCGACUCCAUGAAGGCGGAGUCGCUAGUAAUCGCGGAUCAGCAACGCCGCGGUGAAUGCGUUCCCGGGCCUUGUACACACCGCCCGUCAAGUCAUGAAAGUGGGUAGCACCCGAAGCCGGUGGCCUAACCCUUUGUGGAUGGAGCCGUCUAAGGUGAGACUCGUGAUUGGGACUAAGUCGUAACAAGGUAGCCGUACCGGAAGGUGCGGCUGGAUCACCUCCUUUCU